AUCCAGCUGACGAGUCCCAAAUAAGAUGAAACGCGUGUCUCAGGU
rfam:Schistosoma margrebowiei strain Zambia genome assembly, scaffold: SMRZ_scaffold0006128